rnacentral:lncRNA from 1 species
CUCUUACUAGACAAGGGAGAGGAGGGAAAGGAAAACUGAGUUUUCUGCCAACUCUAGAAUUUACAGAACUGUAGACUUGAAAAAUCAACAUAGUCGAAUAAUUUCUUUUAAAAUUUAAUUAUGAACUAUUUUCACCAUCACACAAAUAAAAUAUAAUAUUCUCCAAAUUUGAAAUCAUGGAUGAAAUAGAUGAGCCUCUUUCUUUAUGAAAAAAAAGUGAGAUCUUUACAUUGCCUUUAUUUUUCCAUUUUUGAUUUGUAGUGGUCACUGUAAACUGGAGUAUAGGAAUAAAUAGGCCGUGGGUUAUUUUAAUAUAAACAUCUUCUGUUCAAGGGAAGAAAUACACAUUUCAAGUAUUCAGUAGGCAUUUAUGGCUAUUGGCCAUCUUGUUGGACUGCACAGAUAAAGAACAUAUCCACUCUCACAGUACCCUCUGUUUAACAGCACUAUUCAUCGAAGAAUGAAAGGCCAAACAUUCAGUGUAGAGUUGACUUAUUUCUUAGUAGAUAUCAAAUAAGAAAAAAAUGUAGGGAAGGAAAUGCUAAAUAGAAAAUUUUAAUAUAUUAUAAAGUCCUACAAAAUGGAAUAAUCUAGCUAGCCUUAAACUGUAUUAAAUGCCUGAUAUCAUUAUUCUCUUAAGCUUAUAUACUUUGCUUAUGGACAAGGCUAGUGAUGUCUGAAUACAUUAGCGCCUUUCCCAGAGUCAUGGGGCUGUGAAGAUCUUAACAACAAACUUCCAUCCUUUCCAUCCACACAAUAAUUAUAAUAAUAGCUUCCACUUAAUUAGGGUUCAGUGUGUGCCAAGCAAUGGACUAAGGACCCACACAAUACCUAAUUUAAUAAUGUAGCAAUUAAGGUGGAGCAAAAGAUUUUUUUUUUCUUUUUCUUCAUUGUGGAGUUGACAGAUAAUUCUUGUUAAUCUUGGUGUAUUGGGUUGUGAAAAGCUCCAGAAAAGGUAAAAAUAAGUAAGGAACUUGUUCUUUUAAGUUCUAUUUUUAAAAUUGUGUACUCAGAUCAGUUAGUGAAAUGUUGAUUAAGGUUUUAGGAUCUGGAAUUAAAUACAUCCAAAUUAAGACCCCAAAUAUUGAGUCUUCCUUUAUUACAUAUCUGCCAUUUUCACUUGAUUUUCCUCUUUUUAAAACACCUUUGUGCUUACCUUCCCUUCAUGGUAAGCCCAUUCAACGUAAGGUCCCAUUUAUCUCCUGACACUGUAAUAACUUCCUAGAGUCUUUUGCUCUUAUCAUUUCUCUCAGCUAUCUUCCAAAUAUCACUAACAUAAUUCACUCAAAUGCAAAUUUGACCAUGUAGCACCCCUCUUGAAAGCUCUUCUCUGGAUCCUCAUUGCCAUUAUUUAUUCAUGUGCCAAAAAUUAAGCAUCUUCUACAUGUCAGACACUGCCCCAUAUGUGGAAGAUACUAUCAUGAACAAAAAAGAUCCAGUUCCUGUCCCCGUUGAACUUCAUUCAAGUGAGAAAAAUUGGAAAACAGCACACAAAGUGCCCAUAAUUUCAGCAAUGCUUCUACCACUCCAGCCUGGAUAUUUUCAAUUAUUAUUUAAAGACUAUGCUCAGGUAUUACUUUUUCUGGUAAUCUUAAACCAAACCCUUUAACCUCCUUUGCUCAUUGGAUGGUGUGUCCCUGGUGUCCAGUACAAUGCUGGUGAGUGUUUAGUAACUGGUUCUUGAGUAGAGAAUCUUGAUUCAUGGCAUCUGUACAUUCCCAUAGUUUAAAUACUCCCCGACCCCAAUGUGAAUUCAGUUGGCUUGUAAAUUUCCUGAAAACUUAACAAUUGACUUUUAUGAGCCAGCACAAACUGUUCCAGGAUACCCCUGCCUCCAUUGUUCUUCCAGAAAAAUGUAAAACAUAUGUAACUCAUGUAUUUGUCUUCUACAAAAAACAAAUAUUUGUUGUGCAUUUACUGUUCUACAAUCUGUGAUGUACCACCACAAUUCAACAGUUAGUCUGUUAGCCAGAUAAAUAUACAGUUACUGACACUGAAUAUUCACAGUUUAGUUAAGGAAAGAACAUAUUAUAAAUGAAUUCAGGGUAUAUACAAGAAUAAGGGACAAUCAACCUACAAAUAUGAGUACCAAAAAUUAUUUUAAUGAAUGUAUGCAUGAAUGAGUAAGCACAUGAAUGUUUGAAUAUGCAUUAGAAAUGGAAGAGGUCAACCUAGAAACAAUUGUCUUCUAUCAUAGAAUAAAAUGAAAAUAAAGGUAACAAGAUUUUUUGUGAUUGAAGGAAUUCUCUAUUAUUUCAGGAAAAGAAAAGAAGUUGUUGCUAAGAGUAAAUAAGAGAUGCUGGAAUGAGAUCAAAUGAGAAAAAAAUCCUAGUGAUUUAGUAAUAGGAAAACAUUGAACUGCCUUUAUUAUUAAAUAGAAAGUAAAUAAAAUAUCACUUCAUAAUAAGUCAUUUUGUGCUUUCCACAGAUGAAAACAAACAAUUCAUUAUAUAUAUUUCUCAAAUCUUGAUUGGAAUGGGAUCUGCUGUUGUUCUUCUUUGUCUGUUGGGUUAUUUGUCAAUUCACAUCAAAAUUGUAUGGCUCCUAAUUCUGGUAUGUAUUUUACUUCAAUAGCCCAAUUUCAUGUUGUAUAUAUUGAGUAUCCAAGUUACUCAUAUGAGCAAUUGUGAUUUAUGUUGCUAUAGUAUUUCAGUAGAGCAUGACCUUGGGGGUAAUCUGAAUGACAUUCCAUGCCCAAGAAACUUCCAGGUAGAUUGUUUUUUUUCCCAUGGUUCAGGUACCUCCAUAGUUGCACUCUUAAAUAUUUAAUUUUCAAUAUACAGUCAACACUAACCCAUUUCCUGGAUGAAGUACAGUUAACCAAACUUAGGAAUCUGAAGACUAAAAUCAUAAUAAAGUAUAUAAGAGUCAAUAUAAGAGUCAAUGAGCAAAGUAAAGAAGGAGUAGGAGGGGGAAGAGUAGUACCAAUAAAAAGGAAAGGAGGUGCAGAUGGAGGAGGGAGAGGAAGAGGAGGAGGGGAAACAUGUCCUCUAGUCAUUAUAUUUUUGCCUGUCAGUGUGCCAUAUGGAAAACUACCUUAUAAUUUAAAUCCUACUUUAUUAUUUAAGGAAGAGAAAUUAACUGCUGAGAGGGACAGACUCAGGGCAGUUGUCUAGCCUCUUAUAUCUCUCUCUCUUAGCACCUAACAUGGAAAGAUGAAGGAUCAUCAGUAGUGUACACCUGAACAUGAGCCAUUCACCGCACAUGUGGCAGGUGUGGAUGACAGUUCACUUAGAUGAAAUAAACCUUUUAAACUUUUCUUUGAAUCAAAUUUGAAUUUAUAACCACUCUCCUAUCAAGCAGAUAAAGGAUUCAGUUGCAGCCCUUCUUUCCAUUUCCAGGAAGAAUGCAGAGGUACCUUGCUUUUGUGUACCACUGAGGUCUGGUUGGUCACUCUGGACACUAGUUACCAGUCUGCACUGGUUACCACAAAAGCAAAAGUCUCAUAGUGCCUUCAGAUGUACUCCUUCUGCUGUUGGAAUAGCCUGGGAUGAUAGCAACAGGGGGCUAUUCAUCCAGCAUAUUUCAGUGCAGGCAUACCAGUGAAACCCUUUUGUGAAGGAUUAGCAAAUAGACAUUAAGUUCUUUCCCAGCGGGAUCCCUCCCCUAUGAGAGUCACACCUCCUCAAUGACACGGCAAUUAAUGGAAUCACACCUGACAGAAGGACCAGUUACUACUUAUAUUUAGUAAUUGCAACUUAGAGUUUUUAAGACUUUUACCUUGGUCAUGAACAUUUUAGUCAAAGCUGGAAAUUACAGUGUCAUUUCCCUAUAGUAUCUUGCCAGGAAGAUGCCAAGAAGCUGUGUGCCUAUUGUUCUGGGAACCACAAUUUCCAGGAUCUGUUUCAGAAUCUUCUUAAUCUAAAAAGUGACUCCUUUCUCUUCUUAUUCUCCUCCAAAGCCCAGUCUUCUUCUCAAAUCUUAUCUUCCUCUCUUUCCAGGAUAUUUAGCCUAAUUUUCUGAUUGACCUUCAGAUUUGGAAUAGGGAAACCAGGACAGAAAUGACUUGAAAGAAAAAUCUUGAUUUCUUUUUUCCUUUCCACAAAUUACCAGUUAAGCAAGAGAAGCACACAGCCUGCUACUAGUAUAAUGUUGGGGAUUAGGGAUGAUAAAUGAAGGAGGAAAGUAGAGCGAGAAAAACAUAAAUGCCCCGUGUGAUUUAUGUAUGAAGAGCAUCCAAAUGAUGAAAGUUUCAGAGAUACCCUCAUAAAGAUGCAUGUGAAUAUAAGAUCUGAGAGGUUAAGCCCUAGAGCAAAGAUACUACUGUCCCUUCCAGACACUCCAUGGAAGGCUACUGCUACUUUUUAUCAUCAUGACCCAUGCUAAUUCUUCUCUGAAUAGACCAAUAUUUUUCUGAUGAACACAUUCCUUUGAACCAUUUUAAUGUGCACAGUCAACUGAUAAAUUGUAUAGGCCUAAAGGCUAUUCCACAACUUAAAGGGAUUUUGUUUAUACCUGCUCUAAUUCAAGACACUAAUAUAAUAUAAUCUAGUAAUCUGCUCUAAUCUAUUCUAGUCAUUUCUUAAUUAUUAUGUACACUUUUUAUUGCCUCUACCAAUCUCUUUUUAUCUUUAAUGAUUAUCAAGUGAGAUAGUAUAUGUAGAAUUGUAAAUUUAAACUUCUCAAUACAUGUCAAGAAAUAGUUUUAUCUCUGAAAUUCUGUCUCAGAAAAUAAAAAAAAAAAUAUGUAUGCCAAAUAGAAAAUAAGGACUUGGCUACCAUUACUGACCCAAUUAUAGAUUGUAUGGGUGGGCUAGAGGAACUUGUCUUUAACUUUGACUAAGUAGUUGUAAAUGACAAAAAAAUGUAGGUGCAUAUGAGGUAGUACUGAGUUUUAGGAAUCCAGAUCCAUAUCCCUUCUUCCCAUCCUCCUCCAGUCAACCUUGGCUACCAUUACUGACCCAAUUAUAGUAAUGUAGAUUACACACACACACACACACACACAAACAGUACAUUUAGACUUGUACUUAAUUGGCUAGUUCAAAGUAUCAAAUGUUUAAACUAUGUGAAAUUAAUAAUAUGAACAGUAAAUAAUUAUUACUUAUAUUCUACCUUUUAAAUAUUUAGACUGCUGAAUUAUAAAUUAUUAUAAACUCUAGGUUAUAUGUACCAAUACAUUCAACUCUGGUGAUAAAGACUGAAGUAGCUAUAGGUUUUAAGAAAGAAAACAGCCUAAUUCAUGUGAAAAUAAUUUUAUUGGAAGCUUUAAUUUUUCAAAGAACUAGUUCAAGAACACAUGCAUAAUUAAGUUUAUUAUUGAAGCUACUAUUGGUGUACUUUUUACUUCAUACAUGGCAGAAUAGUUUGCAAAUUAGAUUACAAAUUUGGCAGAAUGAUCUGAUAAGUGGAGUGCCAUAUAUUUGAAUUCCCCUUUGGAACAACUUUAUUUCUGAAUUAAGAGGAUAUAAUCAACAACUCCAUUAGACCAAGUAGCCUUUUUGGGUUCUCAUGGAAUAUGAUCACUUCUUUCUAGAAUAUUCUUAUCCAGACAUUAAUUGAUUUUUAUUGAGAUCUUAUUUCAAUAAUUAUGCCAAUAUAUAUGAAGGCAGUAAAAUUUAGGGAUACCUAUGUAUAUUUUAGGCUGUAUAUUUCAUAUGCUGUGUAUUUUUUCAUUAUUAUAGCAUCGAAAAUAUAAAUUAAAAACUAAACAUCAUCUCUGUUUUUCUUGUGUUUUAGUAUGCAGUAGUG